UACGGAGGGGGCUAGCGUUGUUCGGAAUUACUGGGCGUAAAGAGCUCGUAGGUGGUUUGUCGCGUUGUCCGUGAAAACUCACAGCUUAACUGUGGGCGUGCGGGCGAUACGGGCUGACUGGAGUACUGCAGGGGAGACUGGAAUUCCUGGUGUAGCGGUGGAAUGCGCAGAUAUCAGGAGGAACACCGGUGGCGAAGGCGGGUCUCUGGGCAGUAACUGACGCUGAGGAGCGAAAGCGUGGGGAGCGAACAGG
rnacentral:rRNA from 1 species